rnacentral:lncRNA from 1 species
GACAAUAAUCCUCUGGUACAUCUAAACUCAGCUAAAUUGGCAAGCAGAGAUGGGUAGCCAGAUUGGCAAGUAUUGUGUAGGACGUAAUAACCAGAGUGCAGAUGCCUUGUCUCGUUUCCAUCCAGAAAACACAGUCCCAAACCAGCUGGAGGACUGAGACCCGGCAUUCCAGGAGAUGCCACCCGAAGUGGUAAAGACCCUGUGUGUGGGGGUGGGGUGGAGGACAAACAAGCUGUCAGAAGACCAGGAUGCUGGAGAAGGACACGGUCAGGCAAGGUUUCCAUAAAGAAGUCUUAAACACUCCCACUGGGCACACAGUGGUUGAAUCAACGUUGUUUCCACAUCAUUUCAAUUAAAUUACGCUGAACCAACGUGGAAUAGACAUUGAACUGACGUCUGUGCCCAGUGGGCUGUGACUGCUGAGAGAGGAUGAGGGCAGCCACCUGACAGACAGGAACGAGAGUCGAAAGAGGCCCUAGAUGUGCUCCGGGAAUGGAAUCUUCUUACAUGGAAAGAGGGUGUGUUGUGUCGGACAUUCCAGGACCUCAAAAAGGGACCAGACGGAGACUACGACUGCAAAUGCACUGUGGCAGAAGGGAACGGCAGGUGUGAAAGAUUUAAUAGAACGAUCAUAGGUUUGCUGGGGACGCUUGGAGAGGAAAGACGGCGCUGGCAUGACUACCUGCAGGAAAUUAUUGAGCUACAGGUGCUGAGCCGGAAGCUGGAAAUGGGUGCCAUGGUGAUGCAGAGAAACAACGAGCGGGAGAUGGGUGCCAUCGUGCCACGGAGAGACUGCAGGUGGGAGAUAGGUGGCCGUGGGACUCCAAUCUGAAGAUGGGGACCGCUGUGACAGGGCUGAAAAGGGCCAAUGUAACCUUCAUGAACCAAGGCGAUCUACAAGGACCACCAAGGGAGUUCACCCCAUAAGAAACAGAGACUUAGGUUAAACGGUUGGGUUAUGUUAUGGCCAUUGGGGACACUGACGUUUCAGCAGGGAAGGAUGUAACAGGGUUCUACAAACCUGCUUAACGUUAUUACUUCUGUCACUAGUGUGGUUUGACUGAGCACAUAUUUUACUUCCUUCACUUGACUGUUUUCACAAUUUGAAUUAUUUGCACGCUUGAGAAUUCUGCACUUAACGAUUGAUUUUGGGCACGUCACCAUAGUUUGCUGUGGUGUGUACAGUGCUGAUUACUCCCCUACCCUCUCUCUCUCUCUCUCUCUCGCUCUCGCUCUCUCUCUCUUUUCCCUUCCUACAUAAUGAUCUCCAUUCAGUUCUCUGGUAACAAUGUCUGACACCAGGUGUUUCUGUUAAGGUUGGUCCUCUAUCCUUUUCCUCUCCUCGUGGUUGUGUGCCCUAUUGUAUAAUUAUUGGAAUGCUGUCUGAUAUGGGGUGUCUCUGUUAAGUCCUAUGUGGCAAGGUGUGUGUUCUGCCACAACUGGAUCGUUGGAAACCCUGAGCUGUCCGUGAGCUAUCGACGCAACCGUUGUUGCUACUGUAGAUACUGCCGCUGAGCAGCUACUGAGCUACAAAAUGAACUGAGCUCAACUGAAUGUGCGCAGUACGUGAAGCAGACUACGGUGGGCCGCUCUGCUUAAACACCUCAACAGCAACCGAUGAACUGAACUAGCCUACUCGACUGCGAUUGCUGGCAAUCCUUUUUAAUCAACCUCUUUAAUUAAGAACCUUUUUGUGACUCCCUUU